rnacentral:rRNA from 1 species
GACGAACGCUGGCGGCGUGCCUAACACAUGCAAGUCGAACGGGACCAGGGGCAACUCUGGUUCAGUGGCGGACGGGUGCGUAACACGUGAGGAACAUGACUUUCGGCGGGGGAUAGCCGGCCCAACGGCCGGGUAAGUACCGCGUACGACCUGUUGGGGACGAUCCCCGAUUGGUGAAAGCAGCAAUGCGCCGAAAGAGUGCCUCGCGGCCUAUCAGCUAGUUGGUGGGGUAAUGGCUCACCAAGGCGACGACGGGUAGGCUGGUCUGAGAGGAUGGCCAGCCACAUUGGGACUGAGACACGGCCCAGACUCCUACGGGAGGCAGCAGUGGGGAAUAUUGCGCAAUGGGCGAAAGCCUGACGCAGCGACGCCGCGUGUGGGAUGACGGCC